rnacentral:rRNA from 1 species
UAUGCAAGACAGAUGUGAAAUCCCAGAGCUCAACUCUGGAACUGCCUUUGAUACUGGGUGUCUUGAGUAUGGAAGAGGUAAGUGGAAUUCCGAGUGUAGAGGUGAAAUUCGUAGAUAUUCGGAGGAACACCAGUGGCGAAGGCGGCUUACUGGUCCAUUACUGACGCUGAGGUGCGAAAGCGUGGGGAGCAAACA